GCAGCAGCAGCAACAACAACAGCAACAACCACAACAGCAAGUGUUUGAUCACCAACAAAUUCCAAGUCCCAUAUCUACAAUGUCUCAGUUCAGUUCUGCAUCCCAAUCCCAAUCCCAAUCCCUGCAAACUAUUCCUCCAUUAUGUCGGCAGCAAAGUUUUUCUGAUUCUAAUGCCAACCAUGUAACGAGUCCCAUCAUUUCACCCUUGCACAGCCUGUUAGGUUCAUUUCCGCAAGAUGAAUCAUCUCAGUUGCUUAAUCUGCCUCGAACCAAUCCCAUGAUACAUUCAUCUACUUGGCCGUCAAAGCGAGCUGCAGUGGAUCCUCUUCUCUCUUCUGGAAAUUCUCAGUUUGUUCUUUCCCAAGGGGAAAACAUGGGGACAACUCAGACUAAUAUCUCUCAGAAUGCUAUUUUGUUGCCGCCUUUUCCUGGAAGAGAGUGUUCAUUAGAUCAAGGGAAUGCUGAUCCGCAG
rnacentral:misc_RNA from 1 species